rnacentral:lncRNA from 1 species
CAAAAUUGAUGUCAAUUGACUAUGUUCAAACUUGUUCAAUUUCAAAAGUAAGUUGCAGCCAUACUUUAAUACAACGCACACAUAACCAUCAUGAAUAAAAAGCUUAAUAAAACUACAGUAUAUGGUAAGCAAGAUUUAGUGUAUACUGAUGUACACCAACUAGUUCUCUAUAAGAAGAACAAAUACCUUGUAACUAGUACAUUUAACAUAUGAGGAGUGCUAGCAACACACUCCAAUAACAAACACACUUUAACACACUCUCUUUUAUUGGUUAAAAUUUAUAUGGGUCCCAUAAAAGUUAUAUGGGUCCACAUUUUUUUAUGGGACCCAUAUGAAUUUCAACCGAUAAAAGAGAGUGUGUUGGAGUGUGUUUGUUAAAAAGUGUGUUGCUAGCAUUAUUCUUAACAUAUAAUCUCCUGUCAGUUCUUAUAUAUACAAUAUGAAAGUCAUGACUUUUUCAUUGCGAUAAGCUUGAAU